CCUACGGGUGGCAGCAGUGGGGAAUAUUGGACAAUGGGGGGAACCCUGAUCCAGCCAUGCCGUGUGUGUGAAGAAGGCCCUCGGGUUGUAAAGCACUUUCAGUGAGGAAGAACGCCUGGUGGUUAAUACCCAUCAGGAAAGACAUCACUCACAGAAGAAGCACCGGCUAACUCCGUGCCAGCAGCCGCGGUAAUACGGAGGGUGCGAGCGUUAAUCGGAAUUACUGGGCGUAAAGCGCGCGUAGGUGGCUUGAUAAGCCGGUUGUGAAAGCCCCGGGCUCAACCUGGGAACGGCAUCCGGAACUGUCAAGCUAGAGUGCAGGAGAGGAAGGUAGAAUUCCCGGUGUAGCGGUGAAAUGCGUAGAGAUCGGGAGGAAUACCAGUGGCGAAGGCGGCCUUCUGGACUGACACUGACACUGAGGUGCGAAAGCGUGGGUAGCAAACAGGAUUAGAUACCCCAGUAGUC
rnacentral:rRNA from 1 species